CCUAGUGCACAGAGGACCAAACUCCAGCUUGCAAUAAACGACUCUUUGCUGUUUGCAUUGAUCAUGGUCUCUGGUGUUCUGAGAGGGGGCGUCCAAAAACUAGGCACUUUAUGUGGGAGCUCCUCUGGGAUAGCCCCCCCAUAAGCCACUCAAAUACCUGAUCAGCGAGUCGUCCAGCUAGCCGGAGGUUAGCUUCCACUUCAACCAGAGCACAAUGGAGUUAUUCAGUCCCUGAGUUCAAAUCCCAGGAACUGAUUGAAUGGGUGCUGGAGGAGGUGGCCCAGUG